GCAGGACCUUGGCUGGCAGCUGAGUAGGUCACAGGACAUUGGUUGACACCUGGGCAGAUUGUGUGACGUUGGCUGGCUCUGAGCAUCUUCAGCUUUGAUCUUCACAGUUUGACAUCGACCAUCUAGGAGUGCUCUUUUCUGUGUCCAUCUAUCUUUUGGAUUUCUGAGCUUCAUGUAUAUCUAGAAAGACAACUAAGAAGGAAAAACAGGUAAAGACUUGAAGAGGCACAUUACAAAAGAAGAUAAAUACAACCACUACGAAAAGUGUCAGCCAGCCGACUCCGUGUUGUGGUUGCAGGAUGUUUGUACACAACACUUUAUGCAACCAUAACGACCCACUGUAAUACCUGGAGAAUUUUAAAUUGUGAAUGAAGCACAGCAGCAGCUGUCUCUGGCCAUUGCCCAGACCUGCAUUAAGAGGGAUGUCCAAUUCUUGAUGCAACUGACCAACGCAAACACUGGAAUUCUAGAAAAUAAUGAGAAAUGCCAGGAUGUUAGCUAACCCAACUACAUUUUUUCUUUCUCCAAAUC